GAUUAUGGCUCAGGAUGAACGCUAGCUACAGGCUUAACACAUGCAAGUCGAGGGGCAGCAGGACGAUAGCUUGCUAUGUUGCUGGCGACCGGCGCACGGGUGAGUAACGCGUAUCCAACCUUCCCCUUAGUAGGGCAUAGCCCGGUGAAAAUCGGAUUAAUACCCUAUGUUGUGUCAUGAGGACAUCUGAAUAACACUAAAGAUUUAUCGCUAAGGGAUGGGGAUGCGUCCGAUUAGGUAGUCGGCGGGGUAACGGCCCACCGAGCCCUCGAUCGGUAGGGGUUCUGAGAGGAAGGUCCCCCACACUGGUACUGAGACACGGACCAGACUCCUACGGGAGGCAGCAGUGAGGAAUAUUGGUCAAUGGGCGCGAGCCUGAACCAGCCAAAGUAGCGUGCAGGAUGACGGCCCUAUGGGUUGUAAACUGCUUUUAUACGGGGAUAAAGUGAGGGACGUGUCCCUUAUUGUAGGUACCGUAUGAAUAAGGACCGGCUAAUUCCGUGCCAGCCGCGGC
rnacentral:rRNA from 1 species